AGAGAGUGAGUUUGAAUUCUUCCUUCAUUCUCACCAUUGGUUUGCACCUUUGGACCUCGCCGUCAUCCUUUUGUUCUGCCCUCACUGCUGGCAGCUUGUCAUCUUCCCUUUUCUUCUAUUGUUCACCUGCCACUAAGAUAUAGUAGCUGACCCUGCACUUCCAGUUGACCACUGAGAGUCCUUCUUACUUUUUGGAAAGAGGAAGCACAAGAUAUAGUAGCUGACCUUGCACCUCCAGCUGACCACUGAGAGUCCUUCUUACUUUUUGGAAAGAGGAAACACAGGAUGAUUAUCCUUUUGAAGAAACCUUUUAAUGUAUUUUGUAAAUUAUAAGUUGUUGCUCCGCGUAUAUCAUAGUUAGGUCUUGGUUUUGUUUGGUUAUUAUGUGAAUUGUUGGCAUGCCAAUCUGGUUAACAGGUUCUAUUAUGUUGUAGAAAUUUUGGGAGGCUAAGUUACAGGGAAGACUCUGCCAAAA